rnacentral:rRNA from 1 species
CCAAGAUUGAAAGCUGGCGUCUUCGGCGUCCGCAUUGUAAUCUCAAGAAGUGUUUUCCGCUUCGGACCAUGCCUAAGUCCCUUGGAAAAGGGCAUCAUAGAGGGUGAUAAUCCCGUACAUGGCAUGGAGCGCCCGAAGCUUUGUGAUACGCUUUCUAAGAGUCGAGUUGUUUGGGAAUGCAGCUCAAAAUGGGUGGUAAAUGCCAUCUAAGGCUAAAUAUUGGGGAGAGACCGAUAGCGAACAAGUACAGUGAUGGAAAGAUGAAAAGAACUUUGAAAAGAGAGUUAAACAGUACGUGAAAUUGCCAAAAGGGAAGGGUAGGAGGUCAGAGAUGCGGCCUAGGAUUCAGCCUUGCUUUUGCUUGGUGUUUUUCCUAGAUUGCAGGCCAACGUCGGUUUUGGGCACUGGAGAAUGGUGGAAGGAAUGUGGCACCUCUCGGGGUGUGUUAUAGCCUUCUACUGGAUACAGCGACCGAGACCGAGGACAGCAGCGUACUCGCAAGAGCGGGCCUUCGGGCACCUUUACGCUUAGGGCGUUGGCAUAAUGGCCCUCUACCACCCGUCUUGAAACACGGAC